rnacentral:rRNA from 1 species
GAUGAACGCUAGCUACAGGCUUAACACAUGCAAGUCGAGGGGCAGCACAGUGUAGCAAUACAUGGGUGGCGACCGGCGCACGGGUGCGUAACGCGUAUCCAACCUUCCCGAUACUCUUGGAUAGCCUUCCGAAAGGGAGAUUAAUACAAGAUGGUGUUUCACUUUCGCAUGUUAUUGAAACUAAAGAUUUAUCGGUAUCGGAUGGGGAUGCGUGACAUUAGAUAGUAGGCGGGGUAACGGCCCACCUAGUCUACGAUGUCUAGGGGUUCUGAGAGGAAGGUCCCCCACACUGGGACUGAGACACGGUCCAGACUCCUACGGGAGGCAGCAGUGAGGAAUAUUGGUCAAUGGUCGGAAGACUGAACCAGCCAAGUAGCGUGAAGGAUGAAGGUUCUAUGGAUUGUAAACUUCUUUUAUACGGGAAUAAAACCUCCCACGUGUGGGAGCUUGUAUGUACCGUAUGAAUAAGCAUCGGCUAACUCCGUGCCAGCCGCCGCCGUAAAAC